ACGAACGCUGGCGGCAGGCUUAACACAUGCAAGUCGAACGCGUGUAGCAAUACACGAGUGGCGCACGGGUGAGUAACGCGUGGAUAUCUGCCUUUUGGUUCGGAAUAACCCCGGGAAACUGGGGCUAAUACCGGAUGGUUCCUUCGGGAUAAAGAUUUAUCGCCAAAAGAUGAGUCCGCGUACGAUUAGCUAGUUGGUGAGGUAAUGGCUCACCAAGGCGACGAUCGUUAGCUGGUCUGAGAGGACGAUCAGCCACACUGGGACUGAGACACGGCCCAGACUCCUACGGGAGGCAGCAGUGGGGAAUAUUGGACAAUGGGCGCAAGCCUGAUCCAGCCAUGCCGCGUGAGUGACGAAGGUCUUCGGAUUGUAAAACUCUUUUGGCGGGGACGAUAAUGACGGUACCCGCAGAAUAAGCCCCGGCUAACUUCGUGCCAGCAGCCGCGGUAAU
rnacentral:rRNA from 1 species